rnacentral:rRNA from 1 species
GAAAAGAACUAACAGGGAUUGCCCUAGUAACGGCGAGUGAAGCGGCAACAGCUCAAAUUUGAAAUCUGGCUCUUUUAGAGUCCGAGUUGUAAUUUGCAGAGGGCGCUUUGGCUUUGGCAGCGGUCCAAGUUCCUUGGAACAGGACGUCACAGAGGGUGAGAAUCCCGUACGUGGUCGCUGGCUAUUGCCGUGUAAAGCCCCUUCGACGAGUCGAGUUGUUUGGGAAUGCAGCUCUAAAUGGGAGGUACAUUUCUUCUAAAGCUAAAUAUUGGCCAGAGACCGAUAGCGCACAAGUAGAGUGAUCGAAAGAUGAAAAGCACUUUGGAAAGAGAGUCAAACAGCACGUGAAAUUGUUGAAAGGGAAGCGCUUGCAGCCAGACUUGCUUGCAGUUGCUCAUCCGGGCUUUUGCCCGGUGCACUCUUCUGCAGGCAGGCCAGCAUCAGUUUGGGCGGUAGGAUAAAGGUCUCUGUCACGUACCUCUCUUCGGGGAGGCCUUAUAGGGGAGACGACAUACUACCAGCCUGGACUGAGGUCCGCGCAUCUGCUAGGAUGCUGGCGUAAUGGCUGUAAGCGGCCCGUCUUGAAACACGGACCAAGGAGUCUAACAUCUAUGCGAGUGUUUGGGUGUCAAGCCCGAGCGCGUAAUGAAAGUGAACGGAGGUAGGAACCCGCAAGGGUGCACUAUCGACCGAUCCUGAUGUCUUCGGAAGGAUUUGAGUAAGAGCAUGGCUGUUGGGACCCGAAAGAUGGUGAACUAUGCUUGAAUAGGGUGAAGCCAGAGGAAACUCUGGUGGAGGCUCGCAGCGGUUCUGACGUGCAAAUCGAUCGUCAAAUUUGGGCAUAGGGGCGAAAGACUAAUCGAACUAUCUAGUAGCUGG